rnacentral:misc_RNA from 1 species
CGCUUUUAAAAAGGUCACGAUCCAUUUCGCGCAUGCGCACAUGACACACAAAGACUGUAUACAUGUAGAAAAUGGCUGCAGAGUUUCAACUUGAAAAUUUCGGCCGAUUUCUAAAGCUUAUGGGACCGUUAAGAAUUUGAUCUUCAUACAAGAGAAGAUGGAUUCUACAGUACCAGUUACUGUGAACACGGCUCAUGAGAUGAUGAGUGAUCUCAGUGAGCCGAGUUCUCCAGAAAGUGAGAUGUAUGACACGUCGGAGCUACUUGGUAGUGUCAGUGAUGAUGUAACCAAUCAGCUCGCAGCUGCAGGUCCAGUAGGGGUAGCAGCAGCAGCAGCAGUAUUAUCUACAAGGAAGAGAAAACAUCCACACCAUUUUGAAACCAACCCAGCUAGGCGGAAAAGACAACAGACAAGAUUAUUGAGGAAGUUGCGACACACCAUUGAAGAGUAUUCAACAAGAGUUGGGCAGCAAGCAGUAGUCUUAUGUUGUACGCCAAAUGUUAGCCAGUCCAUGCAAAUGUAUAAAGUAUUCGGCUCACAACCAUUAGAAAAUGUGGUUCGGAACAACAAACAGCAAAUUUUACAAGACCUUGAGCAGUCACUGCAAGAACAAACGCCACCAACCCAACAAGACAACUCUGGAUUACAUGAGUUACCACCCCUCGUUAUAGAUGGGAUACCGACCCAAGUAGAUAAAAUGACACAAGCACAGUUGAGAAAUUUCAUCCCAGAAAUGUUAAAGUAUUCAACAGGUCGAAGUAAGCCUGGCUGGGGAAGGACAGAAAGCCGUCCUGUUUGGUGGCCAAGUGAUUUACCGUGGGCAAAUGUACGAAGUGAUGUUCGUACUGAAGAAGAUAAGAAAAGGGUACCUUGGACGGAAGCGUUGCGUCAAAUUGUCAAAAACUGUUACAUGCAUCAUGGACGCCAAGACCUGUUACAAGUUUUCAAAGAUGAGCCAGUGUCAAGUGUAACAGUUCAGACGCAGCAGCCGUUUGCUGGUACCAUGAUGCAGACUAUAAAUAACCCAGACGGUUCCGUGUCAAUUAUACAAAUAGACCCUGGACCAAACAGAGUAUUAAGUCUACCAGAAAUCGGUCAAAACCAAGUGGUUACACUUCCAGAUGGUACACAGGCUACAGUAGUUCACGCAAUCCAAGACACAAGUCUCCAACAACAACAACAACAGCAACCUCAGCAGGAGGUCCAGAUCUCACAGAACUUGCCACAGUUUGCUGAGAUAAGUGCCAAUGGUAACCAGGUGGUCAGUACACAAGAACUGAGCGUGGUCACAGGUUCUCAGCAGGCGGCUAUCAGUGCACUGCAAGCAUCCAUCAACAGUGCAGGCCAGAUCAUUUUGACCGGAGCUGAUGCUUCGCAACUUGGUGGCAUAAUGACAGUGUUGCCUGUAUCAAUGUAUCAACCAGUACAAACUGUUCAGCAGAUACCUGCAAAUUUAAAUUUCCAACUACAACAACCAGCCAAUCAGGCGGUGGAGAUCCCCAUGGUAACUGUUGCCGGGGGUGAUGCAGCCUCAGCUUCAUUACAAGGAGAAGAUAACUCUAGUAUGGAAGUGAAAGAAGAGACAAGUUUAGAAGAAGGUUCAGUAGAAGACAGUGGACAGUUGAAUAUGCAAGAUACUGAUGAUACUUCUCCUUCAGAACUACAAAUUUUGCCCUGAAAAUACCUUUUAACGUGUGCUAAAGACCACCUUGGUCUCUAAAAGACCACAUGUUUCAUUUCUCAUUUAAACACACAUACAGCAUGUUAACCUGUGAAUAAAGACCACCUGCAGAUGAUAAAGAUCAUAUUUUAGCUCUCUCAGUGGAGGUCUAUAUCAACAGAUUGAUGUACACAGAAAAAAGCUGUUUCUUUCAGUUUUAUGCCAGAAAAGCUGUCAAGUCAAUGCUUGUAGACCCAUCAUGAUUGCAAGUAUAUUCUGCCUUUGAAAUUUUGAAUGCAGUAUUUAACAUGUAUUUGCAAUUUCUUUCUUGAUUUCAAAUGCUUUCAUUUUGUUAUAAUACAUGAUAUCAAUUAUUUUUGUUAUACUGUUAGUUUGAUGCUUAAAUAAUCAAUAGUUUGGUGCAGUGUGUUCUACAUACAAAAAUAUAUCAAUCUGAAUUUGCUGCCACAAAGGAAUACAAGGUUGCAUAGUACUGCAUGGUAAACAUUUAUUGAAUGGCUUGCCAAUUAAUAGUCAAAACUACUAGCUUUUGGUCCAAAGGACCAAUAGCUAAUUGUUAUGACUAUUGACAAGGAAGCCAGUUGAUGUGUUUUAUUACAUGGCAUAAGAAAUAAAUUCACAAGAUUUUUUGUCAAGUUUUGACUGUGUUUGACUUGGUGUAUAAUAAGUCAUAUAAUUAUAUUUAUUAUAAAACAUUGCUUUGUUGA